rnacentral:rRNA from 1 species
AUUGAACGCUGGCGGCAGGCCUAACACAUGCAAGUCGAGCGGAUGAAGGGAGCUUGCUCCUGGAUUCAGCGGCGGACGGGUGAGUAAUGCCUAGGAAUCUGCCUGGUAGUGGGGGAUAACGUCAGGAAACGGGCGCUAAUACCGCAUACGUCCUGAGGGAGAAAGGGGGGGAUCUUCGGACCUCACGCUAUCAGAUGAGCCUAGGUCGGAUUAGCUAGUUGGUGGGGUAAAGGCCUACCAAGGCGACGAUCCGUAACUGGUCUGAGAGGAUGAUCAGUCACACUGGAACUGAGACACGGUCCAGACUCCUACGGGAGGCAGCAGUGGGGAAUAUUGGACAAUGGGCGAAAGCCUGAUCCAGCCAUGCCGCGUGUGUGAAGAAGGUCUUCGGAUUGUAAAGCACUUUAAGUUGGGAGGAAGGGCAGUAAGUGAAUACCUUGCUGUUUUGACGUUACCAACAGAAUAAGCACCGGCUAACUUCGUG